CGGUUGCUGCUCGCGGCCGCAUGUGGUCGGCUCGGCGUCGGUGAGUUAAACGCAGCACAGUUGGCGUGUGGCGGCUCUGCAUGAGGUGGUCGGGGCCAGCACCCAGCAGAGCUUGCGGCGGCUCGGGUGUGUGACGGCGCAUGUACGCGAGGCUGCACGGCGUAUUGAUGUCCAGACUCGGGUGUGGCAUGCAUCUCACGUGGCGGCCUGCUUGGUGCAGCGCGACGAUGAAUUGAGGACGAUGAAGAGUGCAAAGAGAGGCGACGGAGGUAAGAAGUUGAGCAGGCAUGCUGUGUUUAAUACUACAGCAAGGAGAUCAGCAUGUCCAGCAGCCGGGUGCACAUGGUGUGGCGAACGGCAGCAGCACCUGAUGGUGAGCACCAGCUAUUGAGUUCUAAUCGUUAGGCUUUGCUAUCAGCUCUGUUCUUUCCAAGGGAUCUCUGGUCAUGAUUCAUUGGACCAUAGGUAAUAUACUGAGAUAAAGGACCAUAUAAAUUUUCAACAUGGGCAAACGUUAUUCCAGUAUAACUUUUUUCUGCUUUGUUUUAUGCUUAUGUUUUAUGAUUUAUGCUCCUGUGAUGUAUGAUAUAUAUGUAUAGUUGUGGGAUUCGAUUUGCAAAUAUCCGCAAAACAAUUAUGACCGUAUGCUCGAUCUAUUUAUUUAGUUUUCACUAUGAUGAUUUUCCAUGUUCAUUAUUUCAUUUGUACAAUGCACACGCAUGCUGUUCAUUAUUUUACUUCGUCCGUUAUUUUCAUAGGCACACGUAACAUCUUCUAAGUUUAGAAAUUUAUACUGUAAUAAUAAUAUCUCAGAUUUCCCUCCUUGAAUUUCUUUGUGUAUUAUAUCUCGCUAGAUCGAUCCUCUUCGAAUUUCUUAGUGCGUUUUUUGUCCUCCAAUUUACUGAAUGCAAUCAAGGAUUUUUUUUUUAACACCAAGAAGCAAUAAUUAUGUUUCGUAUACAUCAACGAUUUAUUUUGCACAUAUGUUGUAUGUCAUCCGGAUAAAAAAAUUAUGCUGGCAUUUACAUUAAAAUCAACAAACACAAAAGUUUCCCCCAUUGAAACUAUAAUAAGCAUCUGCUCUGUUUUCAUCUCACAUUAAUCAAAUUUCACAAACUAAUAUACAUCUGGAGACUGAGAGGCUCAUAUCUGAUAAAACAGUGCCAUUCAUGUAGUAAGAGUGCAUAAUUAUAAGUACUGUAAUCAAGAGCAAAUUGAAAUAAUAUAUAAAAAUUUUGUCCCUAUGAAAUACAGUGCGUACUGUCAAAUGUUUUGAUAUUCAAAUAUAUUUUGAAAGGGAUUUUGUGCUAUUCGAAAAUUUUGAAAAAUAAUUUUCACAUGAGAAAUUUUAUUGAUUUCCUUAAAUACCCACGCGUUCCUGAGCACGGUGCAACACUCGGCGUCCCACACGGUGCUACGUGAGUGUGGAAGCAUGCGCAACCAUCCGGGCACUAGCGCAACAAAAUCUACGUGUCACCUAGCUUGCCGGAGCGCCACGGCGUGCAUGGCAGCAGGGCACUAGCGCACACAACGAGCACCUGACCAUCAGGCGUAUCGACUAGAAGCAUAUGGACAUUUGCAAAGGUGUUGGUUUGGUAGAUUUUCGCAAUAUUAGUUCUAUUAGUAGAAUCGUCAUGCAACAACUGAAUUUAAACUUGAACAUGGAUUCAAUAGGGGCAGGGCCUGGAUGUACUAAAACAUUAUUCCAUUUAGUCAUACUCAAUGGAUAUAUUUCUGUUAUUUGGCAGUAGCAUAUGAGGUUUGAGAGGGCAUAAUUUUCUGAAAAAUAAGCUAAAAUUGAAAUUAUCACCGGAACGGAGUGAAUAUUUUCAUGGGAGUUAACUUUGCUUUGAUGCAAUGUUGAGGGUUACUACUUCAAUCAUAUAAUUGCUCUAUGCAGAAGGUUCAUGUGCAAUAACAAAAUUUGGUGAUACUCUUUAUUAGUAAAUCACUUCCAUUAUAAUGGUAUGAUUCAUUUGAUAGUUUCUAUCGCCUCAAGAGAAAGUUUAGUAGUGUACUCCUAGCAUACAAUUGGAGAUAUUUAAAUCUGAAAGCGUCAGGAAAUAAUAUAACGAUGUACUUCUUUCAGUGAAUUUUCAAAGCGGUCCAAUCAUCACACAAGCAUUACUAGGAUAAAUGCUUAAAUUAUUUUGAAUUUUUCUAUUUUCCGAGAAACAAGUGAAGUGAGAAAAAGGUACUUUCAUAGUAGAUUGAAUUUUGAUAUAGUUUUAGCUAAAGAGAAAAGCAUUGCAGCAUGUAGUAUCUACAAUAAGAUGUGCUAUUUUUUCUGAUUAUAUCAAGGGAGAAUACAAGUGCACUAUUAUCAUUGCUAAUUGAUUUAUUUAAUGUUUUGAUACACUUCUUUGUUUUUGGUGCAAAUAACUACUAACUUAGCACAUAGUUCUCUUUCCUCGAUACAUGUUCUUUAUGUAUUUCUCUAUUCACUCUAUCAAAGAAUCUGUUGCUCCGGCUGUGCAAUGAUCAACCAAAUGUUCCCACAUCUUAAGAUCAAGCCAAUGUUCUGACAUCUUAAGAAAGCAUUACCCGGAGAGAUAUUGCAGUAGGGAGGGUGGAUGGCACGUUUGUCCCUUCAAACAAGGGUCUGGUUGCAUCGAGUAUCAUGGGAAGUAUCGAUGGGGGGUCAUACGGGAUGUUGCACUGCAGGUCUCUGGUUUUCCAUCUACGUCAAGUAUAUGUGGGGGUCAUAUCGUGGCAAGUAUUGUGUAUACCCUUAUUAGACAUGAAUUGCAAUGAGAAUUUACAUAUCAGGGAAGUAUGCAUGCUUCGUGGAGUUUGGGUUUGAUAGAUUUAUAGGAUAUAUCAUAGAUACUUCUACGGUGCUACCUUUAUUGUGUUCUUCACCCUUCCUUUCCCUGCAAUGCUUAGUUUCUCUUGUGGCCAUGAAUUUUUUGCUUUCAGUGCUAUUUUAGUUCAAAGCUUUCUUUAAAGCAUUUUUAUGAGUUUGAAAGGGUGUUGAACACACAGUACCAUAUAGAACCAGUCAAUUGGUACAUUGGUUGGUGCUUCAUGAGUGUUGUACUUUUCAUGUACAUCGGCAGGGUUGUUAUCUAGAACUCAUUUAUAUGUAUCGCAGUGAAACAUGAUGAUUUAAAUCAACUUAUUUUAUCUUUAAAUGGUGAAUGGAAUUCUUAGUAUGCAUCUCCCAUUGAGUACACGAAAGGAAACCAUGUACUCCCUCCGGUCUCUUUUAAUUUGACUCAAAUUUAGUACAACUUUAUGCUAAAUCAGAGUCAAUGAAAUAGGACCGGAGGGAGUAGUAGGUUUAGCUAGAAAUUAAACACAUCUAACUGUUUGUGUUUUUGUUCUACUGUGUUCUAAAAAUAAAUUCCUGAUAGUUCUUUUCCAAGGACAUGGAUGAUAAAGUUCCUUGCAUGCAACCAGAGGGUUUUAAUAUUACUGUAACAAGUGAUCCAUCUCUUAGUAUUUGUUGUUUGUCUUGAACUGAUUAUUUUCUUUUGUUUUCACAAAUUAGUGAUAUGCAAGAGAAGUAUAAUCCCGAGCUUCAACAUUUUCUCAGUUGGCAAAAAGAUGAAGCCUUAGAGGUAAAUGUAAAUUUCAUGUUUAGUCAUCAUCAUUUCGAGAUCUUAUUUAUGUUCUAAGAUCAGUUUCCUAUACUAUGAUACAAAUAGCUAGACCUUACAAGUAAGGGAGUAAUACUCGACAAAAGAGAAAUUAAGUUGGUCGUAUUAUGACUUGAAGGAGAGAAAAAAUUAGCUUGAGCAGAAAACAUGAGUUCAGUCUUAUGGCCCAUUUUCCAUUCAUGCAAAAGCAUUUUAUUUUAUUUUGACUGUAGAAAAAGCAUUUUAUGUUAGUUUGAAUAGUAUUUUAACACGUUGUUGUGCAUAAGAGAAUGAUUUUUAGCACUUCAAGGUUGUGUUUCGAGAUCGGAAGUGAAAAAUAUAGACAUGAUAAUGAUGCAUGUUAGUCAGUGAUUAACUUGCUUUAGUGUUCAAUAUCCUCUCCAGUACCUGCUAUGCAUCCAUUGACCUAUGUGAAUCUUGAGUUGAUCUCCGUUAUAUACGUAAUAACAUGUAAUUCUGCAAUAUACUUGAACAAUAAGCCUAUGCUCCGUGGAUUCAUGUGUAUUAUGUACUCUCUUUGAGUAGUAUUUCAAAGAUACACUAGAGAUAAAGAAGAUUUUGGCUUUCAAGUUAAAGCCGUCGCACAGUGGAGCUUUUCAAAAUGUUGUGCUCUUACUAAAAAGAGAGCACAUAUUCCGUAUUGGGUUUGGGUCAUGUAUCAUCACUCUGUAUAGCAAACUGCCGCAAUGUUGAAUAGGCAUGAUCUACCUGUUGUUUCUACA